rnacentral:lncRNA from 14 species
GCUGCGCCCCGCUGGCUGUGAGGAUGUGAAGUUCCUUUAACGCACCCAGGGAGGACACAAAGCUGGUGGCAGGGCUGGGCUGCAAGUCCUCUGAGGAGCAGCUAAGGACUUUGGACUUGGCCAGUCUGGCAGGAAGAAGGCUGAGAGGUGCCCUCAUGGCUCUGUACCUGAAGAGGGGAGGUGGUGAGGGAGCUACUGAUCCCUUCUCCGUGGGAUCCAGGGUCAGGAUGCAUGAGAAUGGCUCGAACCUGCAUUAGGGGAAGUUCAGACUAGACAUUAAGAAGCAUUUAUUUAACAAGAGGAUGCUCAAACCGUGGAACAGGCUCCCUAUAGACGUGGUUGAUGCCCCAAGCCUGCCACUGUUCAAGAGGCAUUUGGUCAAUGCCCUUAACAACAUGCUUUAACUUUUGGCCAGCUCUGAAGUGGUCUGGCAGUUGGACCAGGUGAUGGUUGUAGGUCAAUUCCUGCUGACAUAGCCCAGUCGAGACUAUUCUAUGCAUUGCUCCCAACAGCCAUCCUUCCCUCCUAAGCCUCUCCAAGCGCCACCACAUUAACACCAACACCCGAGCUCCUCAUUUCCUUCCCCUGAACCGAGGCCCGACUGUUGCAGCCCCUUCCUCUAUCCACCCCGGAGCACCGCAUCUCCUGAGGCAGAGACCACCAGAAACCAGCAGCUCACAAACGGUAAUGGCGGAUGAGGGAAGGCUCUACCCGAGGUCCCGGAGCGGGGCACGCCGGGAGUUGUAGUCCCGCUUCUUGGCUCUAGGUGUGCAGGAGGGCGGGGCGGGACUACAGUUCCCGGCGUGCCCAGCGAGGGAAACUUCUACGCAUGCGCAGAAUAGAACUACAGCUCCCUGCGCGCUUCGCGGGUGCGCUCUGUGCAUGCAUCCACUGGGACUACAGCUCCCGGCGUGGCUUACGGGGAGGCGGAAGCGGCGCGAUGGCGGCAGGUCGGUAACCGCUACCGCCGCCGCCGCCGCCAUGACGCUGAUCGAGGGCGUUGGCGAUGAGGUGACCGUGCUCUUCGCGUUGUUGUUGGUCGCCGUGGUGCUG